AUAAGCAAAAGCUCCUUUAAAUUUCGUCAUUUUUUUUAUACACAUCCCGUUUAUUUUGUAGUUAAUUGUUAGAUAAGUUAGUAAUUUCGUAAAUUUUUCGUUACAGGGUAAGAUUUCGUUACCAUAUACAGUAAAUAUUGGUUCAAGAGGGCAGUUUGAUAACUCAGUCGAGGUUUGUAAAUGGUAAAUAACUUAUUCGAGGUUUGUAGCCAUAUUUAAGUAACUCGCUUACUUUGUUUCAGUGUUUGAGUAAAUGUAUAAUGUUAUUAAGUAAUAAUUAAUAUAAGUUACUGCGCGAGCUCAUUACGGCCGUUUCUCAAUCCGAAGGCUACUGGAGGUGGCAUUUGUAGGCUGUAUACGUCAUCAAGACUGUCAGAUUUAAGAAUAUUAACAAUUAUAAAGCUGACUAUUAUUCUUAGUUAAUUGUAAAUUGUUGUAAUAUGCGUAUGACUUGCGAAUGUAAUGCUCAUUUAACUUAAAUAAACCAGGCUUGAUGACGUAUGCAGCCUGCAUAUGCGACCUCCGCAGGAUGCAGCCUUCCGUUUCAGAAACGGCCUACAAGUGUGAGCGUGCGCGAGAUUCUGUCUGAAUUGAUUCUUUAGUAAUGGCAAAGCAAAAAUUUACUGUCGUGGUGAUUAAACGCAUUUUAAAGUUUAAAUUAAAACGCCUAACUUACCUUUCCAGGGGUUUCUGUUCCUGCAGUCUUUCAGGGGUGCUGGCGCGUAUGACGAUGCGGACAUGAACAGCAUACUACAGUAUACCGCCACCUACUGUACUGUAGUACAAUAACGUCUUUUAAACAUCUAAACAUGUCCUCCAAAAAGGAAAAAGGAAAAAACAUUGGAAAACAAUUUUAGCCUAAGGUUUGAGAAUAAAGCCAAUGGUCCUCUAUUAAGGCUAACUGUAUAUUGCCUUUGAGGACUGCAAGCUGAACUUACAGAUUUAUAUGGACUUUACUUACAGGUUUCCUGUGCUGUUUUGCUCCAUUUUACUGAACAAAAUAAGGCUGAGGUAGCACCAUCCUUGUGGUUAGAGUGAAAGAAUGUGGGUAUUGAGACCAAAAUAAACAAUGUGCCAUUCUGGACAAACAGCUGUGGACAAUAUGCAGUCAGAGUAGCCCAUUUUCUCACACAGACCUGAAGAUAAGAUUUCCAGUUUAAAAGUGAAGAAAAUGAAUCAUUAUUAACAGCAAAUAGGAGUAUUUCUCAGCUGAAAAGCCAGGUGAAACUAUAAGGUCACUAUGAUUCACUUUCAUAUUAUCAUUCUUUUCAGAUUUUUUUCCCUGUGUUUUUUUGUUAGAUGAGGAGCAACCAGUAAGAAAAAGCAAAAAGAUGUUUUGAUGUUGCCUGAGGCACCUUAUUUUCCAUUUCAUGCACAAUCACAAAUGCAGCACAUCAAUCAAUUUCUUCCAACCAGCGAAUCAAGAAAUCUUGGAGUGGAGAAUCAUUCUGAAAGUAGACCAAAUCCAGGACAACAUCACAACAGUGGUCGGAAAAAUGCAGCAAGCCAAGCUGACUUUCAAAAGAUGAUUCGUUAUCUGUUUCUUCAGAGGGGAGGCAGUUUGGGAGAUGGGAAUUAGGAGGAUGCUACAGUUACACAGGGCAAAUUUCAGCAGCUCAGUUUCAAACUUGCAACUAACAUUGAGUUAAAGUUAGAAGACCACGGAAAUAUUUGACAUGGGAGUCCAGCAGACAGCCAGAGACACGCACACACACGCAGCUGAAGCGCGUUUGACUGACGCGUACGGGAGAUCCGGCACGCGCACGGGAGCUCGCGCACGCUCACACAAACACGGAGCACAGGAUAAUUACAACUGUUUAAUUAAAAUAAAAGAACUUUGUGGUAUACAAUGUUUAGCGUGUCUGAUUUCAUUGGUUAGCAAGGAAAUAAAACGACGUGCUGAGGACUUUAGGCGAACGUCCCCUAAAAGUCCCGAAAGUCCGCUGACCGUCCCGCGAACGUCCUCGCAAAAGUCCGGAGGACGUCCUCGCGGAAGUCCGCUCGACGUAACGGGAACCAUACACGAUGACGUUCGGGGGACGUUCGCCUAAAGUGCUUAGCAUGUUAUUUAGCUUACAAAAAAGGUCCCCAUGA